AAAGGGUGCGUAGGCGGGGUUUUAAGUCAGGGGUGAAAUGCCGAGGCUCAACUUCGGAACUGCCUUUGAUACUGGAACUCUUGAGUCCGGGAGAGGUGAGUGGAACUGCGAGUGUAGAGGUGAAAUUCGUAGAUAUUCGCAAGAACACCAGUGGCGAAGGCGGCUCACUGGCCCGGUACUGACGCUGAGGCACGAAAGCGUGGGGAGCAAACAGGAUUAGAUACCCCAGU
rnacentral:rRNA from 1 species